rnacentral:rRNA from 1 species
UACGUAGGUGGCAAGCGUUGUCCGGAUUUAUUGGGCGUAAAGCGAGCGCAGGCGGUUCCUUAAGUCUGAUGUGAAAGCCCACGGCUCAACCGUGGAAGGUCAUUGGAAACUGGGGAACUUGAGUGCAGAAGAGGAGAGUGGAAUUCCAUGUGUAGUGGUGAAAUGCGUAGAUAUAUGGAGGAACACCAGUGGCGAAGGCGACUCUCUGGUCUGUAACUGACGCUGAUGAACGAAAGCGUGGGUAGCAAACAGGAUUAGA